rnacentral:rRNA from 1 species
UACGUAGGGUGCAAGCGUUGUCCGGAAUUAUUGGGCGUAAAGAGCUCGUAGGCGGUUUGUCGCGUCUGCUGUGAAAACUCGGGGCUUAACCCCGGGCCUGCAGUGGGUACGGGCAGACUAGAGUGCGGUAGGGGAGACUGGAAUUCCUGGUGUAGCGGUGAAAUGCGCAGAUAUCAGGAGGAACACCGGUGGCGAAGGCGGAUCUCUGGGCCUGUCCUGACGCUGAGGCGCGAAAGCUAGGGGAGCGAACAGG